CUACGGGUCGCAGCAGUGGGGAAUAUUGCACAAUGGGCGCAAGCCUGAUGCAGCAACGCCGCGUGAGGGAUGAAGGCCUUCGGGUUGUAAACCUCUUUUAGCAGGGAAGAAGCGAAAGUGACGGUACCUGCAGAAAAAGCACCGGCUAACUACGUGCCAGCAGCCGCGGUAAUACGUAGGGUGCAAGCGUUGUCCGGAAUUAUUGGGCGGAAAGAGCUCGUAGGCGGUUUGUCACGUCUGCUGUGAAAAUCCAAGGCUCAACCUUGGACUUGCAGUGGGUACGGGCCGGCUAGAGUGCGGUAGGGGAGAUGGGAAUUCCUGGUGUAGCGGUGGAAUGCGCAGAUAUCAGGAGGAACACCAAUGGCGAAGGCACAUCUCUGGGCCGUAACUGACGCUGAGGAGCGAAAGCGUGGGGAGCGAACAGGAUUAGAUACCCGAGUAGUC
rnacentral:rRNA from 1 species